UAUGUGAUCGUCUCUCGCAUAUCAAUAAGCGGAGGAAAAGAAACUAACAAGGAUUCCCUUAGUAACGGCGAGUGAAGCGGGAAGAGCUCAAAUUUGAAAUCUUCAAGGUUUUACCUUGACGAAUUGUAGUUUAAAGAAGUGUUUUCUGCUGAAGUUUUGGUAAAAGUUCUUUGGAAUAGGACAUCAUAGAGGGUGAGAAUCCCGUAUUUGACCAUUAUUUUCAGCUUUGUGAUACACUUUCAAAGAGUCGGAUUGUUUGGGAAUGCAGUCCAAAAUGGGUGGUAAAUUUCAUCUAAAGCUAAAUAUUGGCGAGAGACCGAUAGCGAACAAGUACCGUGAGGGAAAGAUGCAAAGAACUUUGAAAAGAGAGUUAAACAGUACGUGAAAUUGUCAAAAGGGAAGCGUUUGACACCAGUGUUGUUUUUCCGAAAAUCAAUUAAAAAUGGCUCGAUUUUGUAUUGCUUGAGACCUUAAAAGCUCACUGUACAUUUUUCGUGUCUUUUUUAAUGCACUUUUCGUUUAACAAGUCAACAUCAGUUUCUUUUGUUGUAAAAGGGUCAUUGGAAGGUGGCUUUCUUUUCGGAGAAAGUGUUUAUAGCCUUUGGCCUCCGCAAUCGAAGAGACUGAGGUCUGCAGCGUAGACUCUUCGGGGUUAGAUACACUUGUGCUAAGUUAUAGCUUUUUAUAGACAACUUGUUGACUAUAAUUAGUCUUGUAGCUUACUCGCUUAUGCUAUUUUACCUACGCUUAGGAUGUUGACGAUCAGCUGAGCGCG
rnacentral:rRNA from 1 species